UCCGACAUAGUCUAAUGGUUAAAAUACUUGGUUCUCACCCAAGAGCUCGGGGUUCAAUUCCCCGUGUCGGAA